CCGAGCGCUGCCGGGUGAGGGGUCAGGCGGGCGGAAGGCGCCGAGCCCCGCUCCCCGCCGAGCCCGGGGGCCGGGGGCGGCCCGCGGGGUCCCCGCCGGGCUCCUCCCGGCAGCCCCGUGCCGGGCGCCCGCUCCCCGCAGCGGGGAUCGCCUCAGCUCGUUACGAAACGCCCCGUGGUGGUGCUGGCGUGGGUGGGUGCUGAAGGCGCUGGUUAGUGGGGUGACAGAGCGCUCCCUCCUGCGUGCUCCCCUCAGCUUACAGGUGCCUUGCUGACAGGGGCAGGGAGCCCGCGCCUCAGCACCUCUGUCUGCGCUGAACACCGUCAGCUAAAACUGCAAGAUAGGGCUUCAGUAUGUGUAUGUGUCAGGCUGCUUUCCAAUAGCAGUGAAAAUGAAGAGCAGAAUGAAGUCACCCCCAUCAGCUUUAAGGACAGACAACACACCUGCUAGCAGAGACGGCACCAGUGCGACCAGACCCGCGCAGGGCAAGGCAGUGGUGGGCUGGCGACCUGCUCAGAAUGUCUGUUUGUGGCCUGCAUCAGAGACGCAAUACUCUGCAGGAUGGACUGUGGUCUGAAGCAGCACGGGGAUUCUUCAGUCCUUAUCCCUGACAGGCUUUUAAAUGUUAGCUUAAAUAUUUCAUGUAAUGCCAUCAGUAAAAUGCCAUUUUUCUCCUAGAUACACUAAUUGAAAAAUACCAUUUUGAAUCAACUUCCAGAGGAACACCGCUUCAUUUUUCUGUACGUUGUUUGGAAUGACUAUACCUUAAUUAAGAUGCUCUUUCUCAGUUUUUUAGUGUACAGCAAAAGUAAGGGAUCUCUUCAUAACAGAUGAGCAGGACAUGAACAGAGCAAAAGAACUUUUUUUUUUUUUUUCAAGAUUCUUCAUUUUGUGGAGCUACUUGCAAAGUUAAAACAGAAAAAAAUGCCUACUGGAAUAAGGUGUGUUUUAGAGGUUUCUUUCUCCAGUCCAAUUCAGAUGUGAUUGACACUAAUGUAUGAGGAACACCUUUUUGUUCUGUAUUUCUACAACCUUGUACAAUAAGCCAGCACCUACAGAAAAGGUGGGGUUUUGGCUGUCCUAGGAACAGGAUGGGUGUGGAACAUCCACAACUGAAUCAUGAGCUCAGAAGAGGCUUAUGAGGCAAGAGAUGGGGUAAAAGGGCAUAAGCCUUUGAGCUCCCCUCUGGAUUAGUCAUUUUAUUCACCAGAAAUGCAGAAAGUUUACACCUGUUGAUGAACAUGUCAUUCAACACCAAGUCAUUCAUGCCCUGGGAGGAGCAUUGUUAAUAUUUUAAUGAGCCCAUAAGUUUUCCUGAAAGGAAACAAUUUGUCCAAGAUUUAUUAGGUUUUGUGCCAUUUUUACAGUCAACAGAGAGCCUGAGGGAAAGGCAAAGCAUCUAUCCACCCAUCCAUCCAUCCAUCUACUACCAGCUUAUGGCAAGAUGAGGCUCAGGCAGCUGAACAGCCUAGAAACAUGUCUGUAUUUGAACAAGAGCUGAUCAUUGAGAAGCAAGUGUUAAGUCCUUAUCAAUGAUAUAUUAAAAAAUGCAUAUUGUGAAACUGCUGCAACUUCACUAAGUCCUCUGUUAUGACCCAGGGCAGAGUUAGUAACAGUAUACUGUUGUUAUACAUAUUUGAAUAAUAUAUCUGGAUCUAUUUUUUGUAUAUUGUAUUUUGCAUACAAGAAAAAUCCUUGCUAAAUAAUUAAAUAUAUGCAUGGAUGAGUUCAUGCGUCAAUUGUUUCAAGGCAGGCCAUUGCAAACUGAAUAAGAGACAUUUCUACUCUGUUAGCUUCUGGUAGUAAAUCCAGCUAAACACCACUGGUAACAAAAGUGGCACAUAAGUUUGUAACUUUACAUGCGUUGGAAGUUCCCAAUGAAUUCUUAUUUCACUUUCUUCAUUCUACUGUAAUGGCAGUCCUGGUGCAUCAAGGUAACUGAAGGGAAUAAGGGCAAACUUCCUAGAAAACUGUGUGGAGAUGUGUAUCCCUGCCCUGUCUCAACCCUUCCACAAUGCAUGUCAAAAGGCUGUCAAAAGAAAAUGCUUUUGUAUUUGUUUACUGAGGCAAUUCAGUAAAACCAAACAUAGUUACCAUGUACGGCUUCCUGUGGCUUUGUUGGUAAAAGUAAGCAUAAUUUGACAUUUACAGACGUUUAGCUUUCAAGGUGUGCAUCCCAAAGAAGCUCAAGUGUGGUUUCCACGCUCUUUUUUAUUGCCACAAGACUUUCUCUCCUUCUCCUUCCUUAACAGAGCUGUCAAUUAAAAUGAAAUGCAACUGCCCAGCAUGACAAGGGAGCCUCUAUGGAAACUAUUUGACUCCUCUAUGCUUUCUUGACUGUUGCAGCUCUUGUAUACCUGCAUUUUAUCUUGUGACUUCAUUUAGUAACUAUUCUCAGUUUCCUUUAUUUGCUUCCAGAACAUCCAUUUUUCAUUCCAGCUUUAUGCCCUCUUUUGGAAGAGUCUGACAGGAAGUGUGAAAAUCCAUUUUUGAGAAUGAGCAUUUCAUAGCUUAUGAAUUUCUCCUGAAUAGAGUUGGCAUUAAUCCAUAAAAUGAUGAUUCUCUCCUCAUUCAAAUAGUUAUGUGUGUUUGGAAAGGAAAUAUGCCUUCCUUCCUAUGUUUUCCUAAAAUGUAUUGCUUUGUUAGCGGACAGUUGAGAAAUGUUCCAGAGAAAUGUAGAAUUGAUGAAGGAGAAACUGGACAUAGUGCACACUAACCAUGUUCAACAACGUGCCCUGACCAUCCUGUAUCCUGGCACUCUCCUGUCACCUACGUUCUGAAGAGUAUGGACUGUGAGAUAACUCAGGAUACAGCUGGGAUCUCCACGUACAUCACACCUUUAGGGGAGACACUGGAAGCUAGGUUGCAUUAUAGCUCAUUGUUAAAUAAUCCACUCUAAGUAUGCAGUUGGAUGCACUAAAGUUCUCUCAAUCUGCCACAAUUUCUCAGAACUUCCAAAAAAGAGAAAUUGCGUAUUAAUGGCACAUACUUAAUUCUGUAUCUCCUUUGCUUAUAUCCCUAAGCAUACUGUUGUUCCAAAAAAACAUUGUUUUACCUCCUCAGGCUAUGCAGCAUACAAACUGUACAGUGGAAGGGAAUGUUGUGUAUGUUUUAAAUAGAAAGUCAAUUCUCAUGUAUCUUUUUGAGAAGUCUGUAGGUAUGACAAAAGCUCUGCUAUGCCUGGGUGAGAAAUAACACCUCAGGAAGAGGAGAAAUACACAUGUAUAGAAAGGGCUGAUGGUGCUGGAAUGCAAUUUAAGUCUGUUGGAUUUUUACUUGUUUAAUUAAAAUACAAAAAAAAAAAGUGCUGAUGGAAAGUCUAGUAUAUUUGUGCAGCUCUUGACUGAGUCUUAGCACAGAAUUCUGUGCUGUAGAAAAUUAACAUUUGCCAGAUAACUAUAAAAAUUUUUGACAUAUUUCAGUUAAAGAUACAACACUUAACUGUUGUGGCUAACUCAAAAAAAAAAAAAAAGGCAAUGAAAACACUUCCUAGAUCAGAUAGUAAGGGAGCUAAACAAACAAGUCAGCUACUGCAAAUCCAAAUUCAGAGUUUAAUGAGAAGGAACAAUUUCUUCUAGUGUCUAUUACAUUUUAAGACAAUUACCUGAGUGUGCUCUAGGGAAUACCAAGGUAUACAACAUCAGACACACAAUUAAGCAGUGUAAUUGCGUAAACACCAUAUUUGGGACAGGAGAAGUGUUUGAAUACACCAUGCAAAAACUACUCCCAAAUGGAGGCUGACAAGUAAUCAUGUGAGUCUUUAAAAUAAAAUAAAAUAAAAUAAAAUAAAACAAAUGAUGUUAGCUAUAUUUGAAUUAAGUGUUUGAUUCUGUCAGGGUUCCCUUCACAUAAUUCACAAAAGUUUUAGCCACUUUCCACUUUUUAUGUGAGACAAUUGAUAUUUUCCCCCUCUGCUUAAAAUCCAAGUUUUUUCCAUGAUCUUUAUGGAAAGAAAUGUCAAAGGAGAAUUAAGCAUCUGCAGCUUAGAAUAAGAGAAAACUGUUAACAUCGUCUCAAUAUUAUCUAUAUUCUUCUCAUAUGCUCCUAUAUUUCUCCAUAAUUAUCUCUCACACAAUAGUACAAUUGUCCUAUAAAGGUAGUUACUAAUGGAAAGUUAAGUUUUUAUAACUAAUAAAAAAUAAUGUUAUUAAACAUGUGAAUUUCACAGUGCACCUUGUGAAAAUUGUAAGUACAGAAUACAACUACCCUGAAGCCUCUGCAUUUGUUCUUAGAGAUGUAAGCACCCAUAUCCUUUUAUACUUUGGAUCCAUAGUCUUUCAACACACAGCUGGGAGUGAAUAUAAUCCCUGGCAUUAAGGUCUGCUGCAGUGCUAGGGGCAUGGGUAAAGCUGUGUCCUAACAUCCUACAGCAGAUUUGCAGUUUAUGCAGUGAGCAUGUGCAUUCUUAUCCAUACAGCCACAAUUAUCCUAACCCACUGUAGUUGUAUACAUAUAUAUAUAUAUACUGCAAAGUGUCCUGCAAUGUCAUAUCUUCCCUCAGUGUUCAUGCAGUAAUUUCCUGUCCAGCCUUCUUUCUAGACUAACCCAGUUUAUUUUUGCAUUGCUACACCAGAGGUACCUCCUGGCAAAUCAAAGAUGCUUUCCCAGAAUGCACUAACUAGAUACAGGGGAAUAAUACAUUUUCUGUUCAUUUUUAGAGACAUACCUUCAGGACUGUAAUUUUAAAAACAUACUCAAGAAUAUAUGCAAAAUAUGAUGAGAGUCGAUCAGGCAAGUCAGGAAGAGUGUACAUGGAAACAGGUGGUAGCAUUGGGCAUCUAAUGGCCUCUUCAUGUGCUGUCCCAAGAGUGGAUCAAGAGGACCUGGAGGCACAAAGCUGCAAACAAGGAACCUAACCACAGC
rnacentral:lncRNA from 1 species